rnacentral:rRNA from 1 species
GACGUAGGUUGCAAACGUUAACCGGAAUUAUUGGGCGUAAAGAGUUCGCAGGUGGCUUUUUAAGUGAGAUGGUAAAGGCCGAAGCUCAACUUCGGGAAGGCAUUUUAAACUGGCUCGCUAGAGGAAGGUAGAGGCAAGUGGAAUUCUGUGUGUAGGGGUGAUAUCCGUAGAUACACAGAGGAACUCCAAAGGUGAAGACAGCUUGCUGGGCCUUUCCUGACACUCAAGAACGAAAGCGUGGGGAGCAAACAGG